UACGUAGGGACCGAGCGUUGUCCGGAUUCAUUGGGCGUAAAGCGCGCGCAGGCGGCUCGGAAAGUCGGGUGUGAAAACCUGGGGCUCAACCCCGGGCGUGCAUCCGAUACUGCCGGGCUUGAGGCAGGUAGGGGAGAGCGGAAUUCCUGGUGUAGCGGUGAAAUGCGCAGAUAUCAGGAGGAACACCGGUGGCGAAGGCGGAUCUCUGGGCCUGUCCUGACGCUGAGGCGCGAAAGCGAGGGGAGCGAACAGG
rnacentral:rRNA from 1 species